UUGAUAACAUUUGAGUGAGUGGCGGACGGGUGAGUAACACGUGGGUAACCUGCCCUAAAGUGGGGGAUAACAUUUGGAAACAGAUGCUAAUACCGCAUAAAACCUAGCACCGCAGGGUGCAAGGUUGAAAGAUGGUUUCGGCUAUCACUUUAGGAUGGACCCGCGGUGCAUUAGUUAGUUGGUGAGGUAAAGGCUCACCAAGACCGUGAUGCAUAGCCGACCUGAGAGGGUAAUCGGCCACACUGGGACUGAGACACGGCCCAGACUCCUACGGGAGGCAGCAGUAGGGAAUCUUCCACAAUGGACGAAAGUCUGAUGGAGCAACGCCGCGUGAGUGAAGAAGGUUUUCGGAUCGUAAAACUCUGUUGUUGGAGAAGAACGUAUUUGAUAGUAACUGAUCAGGUAGUGACGGUAUCCAACCAGAAAGCCACGGCUAACUACGUGCCAGCAGCCGCGGUAAUACGUAGGUGGCAAGCGUUGUCCGGAUUUAUUGGGCGUAAAGCGAGCGCAGGCGGUUUCUUAAGUCUGAUGUGAAAGCCUUCGGCUCAACCGAAGAAGUGCAUCGGAAACUGGGAAACUUGAGUGCAGAAGAGGACAGUGGAACUCCAUGUGUAGCGGUGAAAUGCGUAGAUAUAUGGAAGAACACCAGUGGCGAAGGCGGCUGUCUGGUCUGUAACUGACGCUGAGGCUCGAAAGCAUGGGUAGCAAACAGGAUUAGAUACGCUGGUAGUCCAUGCCGUAAACGAUGAGUGCUAGGUGUUGGAGGGUUUCCGCCCUUCAGUGCCGCAGCUAACGCAUUAAGCACUCCGCCUGGGGAGUACGACCGCAAGGUUGAAACUCAAAGGAAUUGACGGGGGCCCGCACAAGCGGUGGAGCAUGUGGUUUAAUUCGAAGCAACGCGAAGAACCUUACCAGGUCUUGACAUCCUUUGACCACUCUAGAGAUAGAGCUUUCCCUUCGGGGACAAAGUGACAGGUGGUGCAUGGUUGUCGUCAGCUCGUGUCGUGAGAUGUUGGGUUAAGUCCCGCAACGAACCCCACCCUUAUUACUAGUUGCCAGCAUUUAGUUGGGCCCUCUAGUGAGACUGCCGGUGACAACCCGGAAGGAAGGGGGGGACAACUUCAAAUCAUCCUGCCCCUUAUGACCGGGCCACCC
rnacentral:rRNA from 1 species